CGCGAACCAUCGAGUCUUUGAACGCAAGUUGCGCCCGAGACCACCCGGUUGAGGGCACGCCUGCCUGGGCGUCA
rnacentral:rRNA from 3 species